UACGUAGGGUGCAAGCGUUGUCCGGAAUUAUUGGGCGUAAAGAGCUCGUAGGCGGUUUGUCGCGUCUGCUGUGAAAACUCGGGGCUCAACUCCGAGCUUGCAGUGGGUACGGGCAGACUAGAGUGCGGUAGGGGAGACUGGAAUUCCUGGUGUAGCGGUGGAAUGCGCAGAUAUCAGGAGGAACACCGGUGGCGAAGGCGGGUCCCUGGGCCGUAACUGACGCUGAGGAGCGAAAGCAUGGGGAGCGAACAGG
rnacentral:rRNA from 1 species